rnacentral:lncRNA from 1 species
GAUUUGAUCUAAGACCUCUUGCCUAUAUAAGAAGUGGUGUGGAGGAGUAAAGCAUUGGAAUUGGUGUGGAGCAUUCUCUCUUUUUUUAGUAUGGGCGUCCCUUCUCUUGUGUGUGUUUUCUUCCUUGGGCAUCCCCUCUUUUGAAGUGUGGUAGAGUGUAAAGCUCUUCCAAGGCCUUGAAAUCAGAUCUCAAGGGUUCUUCUCCUUCCUCUCUAAAGAAGGUGUUCAUCCCUCUCUUCUACAGAGUUUGGCGUACACAUGAAGUAGAGGAUCUGCACAUUCGGAUCUCAUGAAGCAUGUUGAUUAAGGAGCUUUUUCAAUCUUGAUCCUUUUCCUACCUUGAAUCAAGAUGUGA